AAAACCCCUACUGUAACGCCACCCUUGGGCCAUCAUUCGCCGCCCGCCGGAAAUCGCCCAUGGCGGCAACCGGCGGUCAAUCGCUCCCAAAUUUACACCAAAUGCUCCUCUCUACCACUCCAUCCCAGAUCUCCACUCACUUUCCCCUAAAUCCGGCUAGACUUUCUCAAAUUUUAGAAAUCCUGGUGCCGCAACUAUGUUCUCCGGUGGCGGCACCAUCACAAAACGACCCCUAAAUUACACCAAAUACUCCCGUUGACCCCCUCAUCCCAAAUCUCCACUUAGCUGCCUUCGAAUACCCCUGGAACUCUUCGAAUAUUAAACGAACCCUAUAAUCCAAAUCGAGAUUCUGCGGACGAUUUUGGUCUAAUGUGAUUUUAUUCAUUUAUUCUCUAUGAGAACAUGCAACUAAUGUCAAAUUUGACCGGAAAUCUGAAGAGUUGAAGAUUCAAGCCUCUUUAUUUAUGCUCCAAACUGUAGUGAGUAUAUCCUUUUCUGUCUCUGAUUUAAUCUUUCCUUCAGUGUUCUUUUUCCAUUUUUCUGUUCCUUCUCUUCUUCUUUUUUCUUUCUUAUUUCUGUUCCGGAGUUUAUUUAUUCAUGAAUGGUUAAUUCAGAAUCUUUUCUUAAUUAGUUAAUUAGUUCUUUAAUAGUUUAGUUAAUUCCCUUUAUUUGUGUUAAUUAAACAAUAGUUUAGUUUAGGUUUUUAUUUAUGAAAAAUCAUUUCAGUACUUGGAUUAUUCUUUCUUUCAAAG
rnacentral:lncRNA from 1 species